ACCAUUGUUGACUCACUUAGGCUGAUGGCAGCUGCCUCUGCUGGGAAGGAAGCGUUUUUCCCACAACAUAUUAAAUGCGGCACUGGAGGAUGGCUGGCUGGUCCAGGGGCCGGAUCUGGCUCUGUUGCUCACAAUGAUUCUGUUUGGCAAGCGUUUUUAAAAAGCCUUGGUAAGUUCCAGAUGGUGACCACUUGCCUCAUUUAUCCUCCAUUUGAAAAAUUUCAAAAACUAUUCAUUUGUUUGCAUACCAAGGCAGUACAGAAUCUUCUACAGUGGCACUUCGAUGAAAAGAAGAAAUGCGUGAGGAUUGAAAUUGGCAACCAAUCUUUGAAAGCCUAGUAGACACCCGAUGCCUUCAACAUGUCUUAUAUGACCCUUGCCUCCAGCCUGUAAGGCUGGAGUGCAGUGGUGUGAUCUCAGCUCACUGAAACCUCCGCCUCCCGGAUUCAAGCAAUUCUCUUGCCUCAGCCUCCUGAGUAGCUGGGAUUACAGGUACCCUCUAUCAUGCCCGGGUAAUUUAAA
rnacentral:lncRNA from 1 species